UGUUUCAAAAAACCUAGGGGGAUAGAGAAUAGUGAUCUAGAGACAAUCAACUAGUGAUUUAAGUAACAUGCCAAAAAUAUGCUAAAAAAGUCCUCUACGAAUAAAUUAUAACAAUACAAAUAUCCUGGAACAGUACAUGACACCAGAAAAGACAUCAUAAGCUAACCAGCAAUCUCCUUCAUGUUUUUUGCUUGGCCUUCUCGAUAAGGGGCUUCAGCUGCUUCUUUUCGGCAAGAAUCUUCAGGAAGUUGAACAAAAAGGGUAUAUAAUUGUGCUUCCUCCGAAUAUUUUCCGUCCUCCACUUCUUGAACUUUUCCUCCUCCAUCAAAAUCUUCUCAGUUGCAGUCUCAAUCCCAGUAUUUACCUCAGAUAGUGAUUUGUUCAAUGCUUCAUGGUUGCUACUAUCCACUAGCCUGUCCGACUGUAAUGCACCCAGCUGCUGCAAAAUACGCUCCCUCCUCCUUUGCAGCUCCUUGAGUUCAGCAGUAUAUAUUUCUCUCCUGUUCUUAAUUAUUGCCAUGAGAUUGAAUCUUAUUUCACUUUUGGAAUACCUCUCUAUGCGUUCUUGGAUCACUGGUUGCACCAUACGCAACCAGUCCAUAUCAUUGUGCCCACCAGUGCACUGGCCAAGGCUAAUGGGACCUUCUUUCAAGCCAUCAAGCUCAUAAAGAAAUCCAUCAACAGGCAAAUAACUUAUAAAAUGGUACACAUCAUCAUCUUUUCCAGCAGCCUUCUGCUCCUCAGGAACGAAGGGCUCAGGUCUUGCAAAACUGUUAUGAGCCGCACGAAUAACUUCACUGUUGUUGAUGGCCAAACCUUUGAGUUCAGGUGGAAAAUUCCUUGUGAAUUCUUUCAACUUUGACAAUUCUGGGCCAAUAUCAAUGUCUGGACAGUUCAUUAGGAUGGAUAGAAUUGCUUGGGUUGCACAAGCAUUGUUAAUGACCUGACUGGCAAAAAAAA
rnacentral:misc_RNA from 1 species